rnacentral:rRNA from 1 species
GGUAGUCCACGCCGUAAACGAUGUCUACUUGGAGGUUGUGGCCUUGAGCCGUGGCUUUCGGAGCUAACGCGUUAAGUAGACCGCCUGGGGAGUACGGUCGCAAGAUUAAAACUCAAAUGAAUUGACGGGGGCCCGCACAAGCGGUGGAGCAUGUGGUUUAAUUCGAUGCAACGCGAAGAACCUUACCUACUCUUGACAUCCAGAGAACUUUCCAGAGAUGGAUUGGUGCCUUCGGGAACUCUGAGACAGGUGCUGCAUGGCUGUCGUCAGCUCGUGUUGUGAAAUGUUGGGUUAAGUCCCGCAACGAG